AAGGAACAUUCACCCCACUGCAAUGAUGUUUACCAGCACUAUUAACUUACUGCAGACUCUUUGUCUGUCUGCUGGAGUUCAUGCUGAGAUCAUGCAGAGUGAAGCCACCAAGACUUUAUGCGGACUGCUGCAAAUGUUAGUGGAAAGCGGAAUGACGGACAAGACAUCUUCUCCAAACAGGCUGGUGUACAGGGAGCAACACCGGAGCUGGUGCACGCUGGGGUUUGUGCAGAGCAUCGCUCUCACGCUGCAGGUGUGCGGCGCCCUCAGCUCCCUGCAGUGGAUCACGCUGCUCAUGAAGGUCGUGGAAGGGCACGCACCCUUCACUGCCACCUCGCUGCAGAGGCAGAUCUUAGCUGUGCAUUUGUUGCAAGCAGUCCUUCCGUCAUGGGACAAGACCGAAAGGGCGAGGGACAUGAAAUGCCUCGUGGAGAAGCUGUUUGACUUCUUGGGGAGCUUGCUCACUAUGUGCUCCUCUGACGUGCCGUUACUCAGAGGUGAGUGGCCGUCUCCUUUCCCUGUGCCCUGGUGAAGAGCGGUGCAGCAGCUUCUCCCCUGGUUUCCUCCUCAGAGUCCAUGCUGAGGUGGCGCAGGGUGUGCCCGCAGGCCUCGCUGACUGCCACCCACAGCAGCACACUGGUGGAGGAGGUGGUGGCACUGCUGCACACGCUGCACUCCCUGACUCAGUGGAAUGGGCUCAUCAACAAGUACAUCAACUCCCAGCUCCGCUCCAUCACCCACAGCUUUGCGGGAAGGCCUUCCGAAGGGGCCCAGUUAGAGGACUACUUCCCCGACUCCGAGAACCCUGAAGUGGGGGGCCUCAUGGCGGUCCUGGCUGUGGUUGGAGGCAUCGAUGGUCGCCUGCGCCUGGGUGGCCAAGUUGUGCACGAUGACUUUGGAGAAGUCACCAUGACUCGCAUCACCCUGAAGGGCAAAAUCACCGUGCAGUUCUCUGACAUGCGGACGUGUCGCGUUUGCCCAUUGAAUCAGCUGAAACCACUCCCUGCCGUGGCCUUUAAUGUGAACAACCUGCCCUUCACAGAGCCCAUGCUGUCUGUCUGGGCUCAGUUGGUGAACCUCGCUGGAAGCAAGUUAGAAAAGCACAAAAUAAAGAAAUCGACUAAACAGGCCUUUGCAGGACAAGUGGACCUGGACCUGCUGCGGUGCCAGCAGUUGAAGCUAUACAUCCUGAAAGCAGGUCGGGCGCUGUUCUCCCACCAGGAUAAACUGCGGCAGAUCCUGUCUCAGCCAGCUGUUCAGGAGACUGGAAGUGUUCACACAGAUGAUGGAGCAGUGGUAUCACCUGACCUUGGGGACAUGUCUCCUGAAGGGCCGCAGCCCCCCAUGAUCCUCUUGCAGCAGCUGCUGGCCUCGGCCACCCAGCCGUCUCCUGUGAAGGCCAUAUUUGAUAAACAGGAACUUGAGGCUGCUGCACUGGCCGUUUGCCAGUGCUUGGCUGUGGAGUCCACUCACCCUUCGAGCCCAGGAUUUGAAGACUGCAGCUCCAGUGAGGCCACCACGCCUGUCGCCGUGCAGCACAUCCGCCCUGCCAGAGUGAAGAGGCGCAAGCAGUCGCCCGUUCCCGCUCUGCCGAUCGUGGUGCAGCUCAUGGAGAUGGGAUUUUCCAGAAGGAACAUCGAGUUUGCCCUGAAGUCUCUCACUGGUGCUUCCGGGAAUGCGUCCGGCUUGCCUGGUGUGGAAGCCUUGGUCGGGUGGCUGCUGGACCACUCCGACAUACAGGUCACGGAGCUCUCAGAUGCAGACACGGUGUCCGACGAGUAUUCUGACGAGGAGGUGGUGGAGGACGUGGAUGAUGCCGCCUACUCCAUGUCUACUGGUGCUGUUGUGACGGAGAGCCAGACGUACAAAAACCGAGCUGGUUUCUUGGGUAAUGAUGAUUAUGCUGUAUAUGUGAGAGAGAAUAUUCAGGUGGGAAUGAUGGUUAGAUGCUGCCGAACAUACGAAGAAGUGUGCGAAGGUGAUGUGAUGUUGGCAAAGUCAUCAAGCUGGACAGAGAUGGAUUGCAUGAUCUCAAUGUGCAGUGUGACUGGCAGCAGAAAGGGGGCAUCUACUGGUUUAGGUACAUUCAUGUGGAACUUAUAGGCUAUCCUCCACCAAGAAGUUCUUCUCACAUCAAGAUUGGUGAUAAAGUGCGGGUCAAAGCCUCUGUCACCACACCAAAAUACAAAUGGGGAUCUGUGACUCAUCAGAGUGUGGGGGUUGUGAAAGGUGUGAUGGAUGUCAGAUGUUUCCUAUC
ensembl:lncRNA HERC2P9 HERC2 pseudogene 9